rnacentral:tRNA from 1 species
GCCUGGGUGGCUCAGUCGGUUGAGCGUCCGACUUCAGCUCGGGUCAUGAUCUUACCGUCUGUGAGUUCGAGCCCCACAUCGGGCU